AUCGCGAGCGUGGGCGCCGCUCGGCCUAUGCGGGCAGAUCGAUGCCAUGUGGGCGGCUGCCGCCUUGC
rnacentral:sRNA from 1 species